GUGUCUAUGCAUAAGUGAGUGCAAACAUUUAAAUAUUGCUUGACUUCAACAGCAAAACUUACUGUUAACACUGUCUGUCUGGCUCUUUCUGUAAAUGCUGAAGAUGAUGAGUUCUCUAAGUCAGGUGUAAAUGUUGCUCCAACAUCUCUGAACUGCAACUGCUUUGUUGUAACAGCCUCAAUAGUUGUAGUUCUUACAGCUGUAGUGGUUGUAGGAGUAACUGUGGAUGCGUUUGUUGGGGUAGUGAUGAUUGGUGUUGUAGCAUUCACAGGUGUAGUUGAAGCUGUUGUAGACACUGUAGUUGUAUUUGUUCCUGGUGUGGUGUUUGUAAGAUUUGCUAUGGUUGCGUUUGUAGGGGUAGUCAUCAUUGGUGUUGUAGCAUUCACAGGUGUAGUUGAAGCUGUUGUAGACACUGUAGUUGUAUUUGUUCCUGGUGUGGUGUUUGUAAGAUUUGCUAUGGUUGCGUUUGUAGGGGUAGUCAUCAUUGGUGUUGUAGCAUUCACAGGUGUAGUUGAAGCUGUUGUAGAAACUGUAGUUGUAUUUGUUCCUGGUGUGGUGUUUGUAAGAUUUGCUGUGGUUGCGUUUGUAGGGGUAGUCAUCAUUGGUGUUGUAGCAUUCACAGGUGUAGUUGAAGCUGUUGUAGACACUGUAGUUGUAUUUGUUCCUGGUGUGGUGUUUGUAAGAGUUGCUAUGGUUGCGUUUGUAGGGGUAGUCAUCAUUGGUGUUGUAGUGCUCACAGUUGUAGGU
ensembl:lncRNA